CUCCCACUCUACCUUUGUCAAGCACCGCGGAGAGCCUGGUUUAGGUACAUGAAGUCGAUCACGCAGCCGCACAACAGCACGAUGCAUCCAUGACGCGGCGCAAACGUAUAUGCACGCAUGCACGCACCCCCAUGCCGUGUGACCUUACAACCGGUAGCCCAUAUUUGGUAGGCGAAACUGGGUCGGAUCUGUAACUCUCUUUCUUUUGGCAACGGUAUCAAGAAAACAUGUGCUUUCAAGUCGCUUCCCUCGUUCGAUUGUAAUUGAGAAGCGUUCACUCCAAUUUCCUGCCGCAAAGAAGCCGCAUAUAUCCACACGGGAACAGCCGUGACCCAUAUUCUCACCCCAGUCGUCGUUCAACCCCCAUAACCAUUGGGCGCGAAGGCCGCGUAGGGAAAGGUGGCACUAUGCACCCUGUAAGAGAUACGUCAUUAAACGAGGUAAGCAGGUAGGCAGGGCGAGGCUAUUAAUCGGGAGCUGAAAAUGUCAAAUGGCCCGAAAUAGUCGAUCGCGAAGAGUUGCCUGUUCUCGCUAUGAGGAAAUCACGAGUACAAAGCGCAAAACCGUCCACCCUUUAGCCCGUUUCACCCUUCAGGGUGAAAUGGAUGGUACACCAACUUUUUCACGUGUUAUAUUCAGCGGCGGAUAGUCUACCCUUUGACUAGGAACACACAGGGAAGUCGCGAACCGAGAAUAGAUCGAUAUUUUGUCGGGUUAUAGCAUUUUGGGGUGGGAAAGUUCAUAGGAACACGAGAAAGUUCAGGAAUAUGGAGAAUAAUCACGCUAAACUAACUGGUUUAAAAGAGAGUUUCUUUGUGUGGAAGUACUAAUCAAUAUGUGUGUGAUUUCAAUUUAACGUAUGAUUCAUACUUGAAAAGUGGAAAAAAAAUAAAUUAUUGUCAUUAUUGUCACGAUAGGGAAAUAAUAAUGAGCUUUACAUAUCUACAUACACACACAUACACACACACACAUCUUAUUUUUGAAAUGUUAAAUAAUGACACAAGAUUAUACAGCCUUAUGCAAACAUAACUUGCAUAAAGAAUUUUAUAUAGUUUUAUCAUAUAUAUAUAUGUAUAUAUAUAUUUUUUUAUUAUAUAUUUAGUAAUAAUUUUUAUGAGUGUAGAAGAAAAAAGUAUCAAAUAAAAAAUAACAUUACCUUCAAACUCAGACUUCAUUAGAACUUCUUAAUUUAUUAUUAUUAUCAAAGCCAUCAUAAUGUAUUGUGUUUUUUUAGAUAACUAUUAUAUUAUUGAAGUAAAAAUGCAAGUAAAAUUUAAGAUUAUCAAAUUUAUUAUAAAGGAGAUUUAAUUAUAUAUAUAAAAAAAUAAGAUUAUUAUUUACAUAUAUACGCAAGAAUGUAAGUUCAAAUAAACACUAAUAGUGAAACAAUAAUUGUUAAAUAGACUGCAUUAAUUUUAAUUGCUAAUGCUUUUCCCUGCCUACACAAAUACAUACUAUAUUUUUAUGAAUAGAAUAGAAUUCUAUUUUAUUCUCUUCUAUUCUAUUUUUAUGAGUGUAGUAUUUAUACAUUCUUUUGUUGUUAUUAUCUUUAAAAUUAUUUAGUAUUUAUAUUUUUAAUUAUUCCUUUCAAAUUGUGAAUACGGUACUUUUAUUAUUUAAUUUUACAUUUUUAAUUCAAUUCGUAAAUGAUACUGCCCGAUAAAUAAACAUAGUUUUCUAUAUUAAUAUAAGAAUUUUAAUGCUAAAGCAAUUUCUAUUUUACAUUGACUGGUUAUGCCCGAAUGUGUGUGAUCACGCGGAAUUACUGCUCGUGUGAACUUGGGGGAAAGUUUUCGACGGCGAAAGAAUGAAGUAUUCAAUGAGUAAUGAAGAUAAGUGGAGUGUCCUCGCAUAUGAGACGCGCGCAUACGUUAAUUGGUCGACAGAGUUCCAUUCAUUAGAGAAGAGGAAGUCUCUAUGCGUGUUACGCAUCGCCGAGAAAUGAAUGAAUCUUAAAUGAGUUAACGGGUAGUUCUCCGAAAGAGUCUUAUAGAAAAACACUCGCUUUGCAUCUUAUCGUUUAAAAGGCACCGCUUAAGAUUCAUUUUUCCUCAUAAUUUUAUAAUAAGGUAAAUAAUAAUCGAUUUUUGUCUUUGUUUGAAUAUAGUGCAACAGAUAACUUUUUUUUUUAAUAAAGGGGGAUUAAACCUAUAGUUGGUAAUAGUAAAUUAAUAAUAUGAAUUAUAGAUUGAUAAUGUUAUAAAGUCAGACGUUUAAAGUCAAUCUUUAAAAUGCACAGAUCGUCUUUAGUGCGCUGAUAGAAUUAAAUAAACGCAAAGACGUUAUGCAAAAGAUACGAACACAAAAUUUAAAGUUAUCGCACGUAUACGGUAAUAAUGAUUUCGUAAAAAUUCUAUUAUCCAGGAAAAAAAAGAAAAAUACUGGGAGACAAAAUUGAUUAUACAAGUAAAUGUUAUUAGUACUAUUUACGUUUUAUAUUAAAUCAGUAAUAUUUAUUUCAAUCAAAAGUAGUAUAAUAUUUUCUACAAACAAGUAAUGUUUACUCGUUUAAUGUGAGGCUACUUGAAUACUAAUAACAUUUAUUUGAAUCAAAUAACCUCUUUCUAUAUGAACAAAUUUUGUUGUGAUUUUUAUUUGUCACGUAAUGAUUGAAUUACUGCUGUUCGGUAUUUCAAAUCUUACUAGCAAUCCUGAUUGUCAACAGCACAAUUUGGAAUUUUUACAUUCGAGACAUCCACAUUUAUUUUAACGUGCACUGAGAGAAAAAUGUCGAAGUAUUGAGAACCAAAUAUUUCUUGUGACGUUUUCUUCGAUAGUUAUUUGUUAUAAAAAUUUUUAUUUGAAAACGAUAUACAUUUCUGAAAUGUUCUGAAAUAUACUUUUAAAAUAUAUUUCUGUAAAAUAUACCUUGUUGUAAGGAGAUAACAUUCAGUGUGCGAAAAAAUAAUUUAUUCGCUAGAAAUAAAACAUUUAAUUCGCCCUGUUAAAAUAAAUCAUUUAUUAGAGAAAAA